rnacentral:rRNA from 1 species
UACGUAGGGAGCAAGCGUUGUCCGGAAUCAUUGGGCGUAAAGCGCGCGUAGGUGGCCCCGUAAGUCCGCUGUGAAAGUCAAAGGCUCAACCUUUGAAAGCCGGUGGAUACUGUGGGACUAGAGUACGGAAGAGGCGAGUGGAAUUCCUGGUAUAGCGGUGGAAUGCGCAGAUAUCAGGAGGAACACCAAUAGCGAAGGCAGCUCGCUGGGACGUUACUGACACUGAGGCGCGAAAGCGUGGGGAGCGAACAGG